rnacentral:tRNA from 1 species
GGUGAAAUGGCUGAGGCUAUAGGCGGUAAAUUGUAAAUUUACAUAGGAAUUAUUUCUUUCACCA